AGCGAACGCUGGCGGCAGGCCUAACACAUGCAAGUCGAACGAACUCUUCGGAGUUAGUGGCGGACGGGUGGGUAACACGUGGGAACGUGCCUUUAGGUUCGGAAUAACUCAGGGAAACUUGUGCUAAUACCGAAUGUGCCCUUCGGGGGAAAGAUUUAUCGCCUUUAGAGCGGCCCGCGUCUGAUUAGCUAGUUGGUGAGGUAAAGGCUCACCAAGGCGACGAUCAGUAGCUGGUCUGAGAGGAUGAUCAGCCACAUUGGGACUGAGACACGGCCCAAACUCCUACGGGAGGCAGCAGUGGGGAAUCUUGCGCAAUGGGCGAAAGCCUGACGCAGCCAUGCCGCGUGAAUGAUGAAGGUCUUAGGAUUGUAAAAUCCUUUCACCGGGGACGAUAAUGACGGUACCCGGAGAAGAAGCCCCGGCUAACUUCGUG
rnacentral:rRNA from 1 species